rnacentral:rRNA from 1 species
GAGAAUGCUGGCAUGAGUAGCGAGAGACGAGAGAGUAACUCGUCCGCCGUGAACCCGAGGUUUCCUGGGCAAGGCUAAUCCUCCCAGGGUCAGUCGGGGGCUAAGGCGAGGCCGGUAGGCGUAGCCGACGCGCAGCAGGCAGACAUUCCUGCACCGCGCACGCGGCGCUACGACCGACGGGGCGACGGAUGGGGGUGGCUCGGCGGGGUUCUGGACGUCCCCGUGAUGGAGCGCGGCCCGCGGACCAGGGAAAUCCGGUCCGCAUCAAGGGCGAGGCUCCGGACGAAGCGACUGAGCGAAGCGAGUGAGCCCGAGGUCCCUAGAAAAACCCCUAGGCAGGCGCGUGCGCGCCCGUACCGCAAACCGACACAGGUGGGUGGGUAGAACAUACCGAGGCGAUCGGGUCAACCAUGGUCAAGGAACUCGGCACAAUGGCCCCGUAACUUCGGGAGAAGGGGUGCCCGCGCGUACGUGAACCGGCUCGCCCGGGGAGCGGAGGCGGGCCGCAGUGGAGAGGCCCAAGCGACUGUUUACCAAAAACACAGGACUCUGCAGAAGCCGCAAGGCGACGUAUAGGGUCUGACGCCUGCCCGGUGCCGGAAGGUCACGCGGAGGAGUUAGCCGAUUCGGCGAAGCCCCGAAGCCAAGCCCCGGUAAACGGCGGCCGUAACUAUAACGGUCCUAAGGUAGCGAAAUUCCUUGUCGGGUAAGUUCCGACCUGCACGAAAGGCGCAACGACUUGGGCGCUGUCUCGACCAUGGACCCGGUGAAAUUGCACUGGUCGUGAAGAUGCGACUUACCCGCGGAAGGACGGAAAGACCCCGUGAACCUUCACUGCAGCUUGGCAUUGGCCGCUGGUCCCGCGUGUAGAGGAUAGGCAGGAGGCAUCGAUCCGGAGGCGCCAGCCCCCGGGGAGCCGCCCUUGGAAUACUGCCCUCGCGCGACCGGCGUCCUAACCCGAGGCCGUCAACCGGCUCGGGGACCGUGCCAGGCGGGCAGUUUGACUGGGGCGGUCGCCUCCUAAAGGGUAACGGAGGCGCGCGAAGGUCCGCUCGGGACGGUCGGCAACCGUCCUUUUGAAUGCAAGAGUACAAGCGGGCUUGACUGCGAGGCCCACAAGCCGAGCAGGUGCGAAAGCAGGCUCUAGUGAUCCGGCGGCCCCGAGUGGGUGGGCCGUCGCUCAACGGAUAAAAGGUACUCCGGGGAUAACAGGCUGAUCUUGCCC